rnacentral:lncRNA from 1 species
UUGAAUGUGGUGUUGUUAAACAUUAGGUGGUUCUUGAUAUGAGCCCAAUGUGGUGGUAAAGAGUAAUAGUUUUGGGAUGAGAUUCCAUAUAGAGAGGUGUAGAAUCCGAACCUAAGGAUUUGGGUUAAGCUUGAAUAUAGUAAGAGCAUACCAUAAAAUGCAGACCUUAGUAAGAGUAGCCCAGUCCAUACCAGUCCAGUUGUCAUUCGAGGAGGAAUGAUCCCAAGGGGGAGAUAUUGUAACACCCCAGAAAAUUUUUGAGCUAAGACUUGAACCAUCCUUCGUUGUGAGUAGGAUUUUAUCGAGGAAAAUUAAAAUUUCUUGAGUAUUAAGGUCACUAGAUUUAUCACCUUGAGUUCGUAGAAGAACUAAAGAGAGUUCAUUCAAGUCAUUCCUAAGUUCCUUUAAGUUUUGGGUCAAAUUAAAACAACCAUAACAUUCAAUAGAGGAUGAUUUAGGUGGGCUAAAAGGUACUCAAUGAAAGGUAUUUCAAUUAUCUUUCCAACGCCGCCGAGUUUUCUAAUUUUUGAGUUCGUAUGAGUGAGAUAUGCCAUUUUGAAGUCAUGUUCUCCAGUUAAGGAAAGUAACCCGAAAAUAGUAAGGGGUAUUUUGGUCUUUUCCUUUCCCAAUAAGAUGUAAUUCGUUUUUAGUAAUGUUUUAGUUGUAUAAUCCUAUUAGGUUCAAUUUUAUAAUCCUAAUAUACACCUAGGGUUUUAGUUGACAGUUCAAUAAGAGAAAAGAAGAGAAAAAAGGAGAAAAGAGAAGAGGAUCAAAGCGUUCGUCGAGAGUCUUGUGUUUUAUUGCGGAUUUUUACCAUAGGUUUAAUCCCCAAGAGGUAUGUAAGCUUACAUAGUGUUCGGUUUGUUCACCCACACGCCAAUCAUGUUAUUUUCAGCGAAAUUUCAUUCUUGAAGUUGAAAAAUUUGAGUUCAUGAUGAGUUCUUGAGAAGUGUUCUUGAAGUUCAUCCUAAAUCUUGUUGUGUUGGGGGUUUUGAUGAUUUCUUGAGAUUAAAGUGAAUGUUUUAAGGGCUUUAUUGAGUAUAUUAGAGUGUAUUUAUGUUAAGUAAUCGAAUCCAAGUGAUUGGGGAACAAACCGUUCGAUUCCAGGCAAGUUAGGGUGAGAAAAUGAGCAAAGAAAUUCGUCGGGUUUUCUGGGUUGGGGCCUGGCGCGUCAUGCCAGCUAGAGAGCCCCAACUUAUGCUCUGAAGUUCAGGGGUUGGCACUCCAUGCCACUCAUAUCCCUAGGGUCACCUGCCUCAUCCAGUUUGCAAUUGGUUAUUCCGUUUGAGUUCUUUCGAGGGUACCUUCACUCCUUCUCAAUUCUAACUACUCUAAGAUACUUCUAAACACCUAGAAAUCAUUCAUAACAUGAUCAUAACCUUUAAUUCAUAAUUCAUUAUUCAAAUUCAAGGUAGAGUUAAGAGUUAAGUUUUUGAAAAUUCUUUCGAACAUUCUAAGAAAGUCCAUUUGAGUCCUUUUGUGGAGUCUUCUACAACUUCUAGUAACUUCUUACAAGACUCAAGUAAGUGAGCAUGAGAGUGAGGAGAAUGUAUUUAUGAGUCAAAACUAUCACCUAGAUCCUUCAUAUCAUGAACCAUAACUGUUGAAUUCAUAAUUCACAUUCAAGAGAGAGUCGAGAGUAGAGUUCAAGAAAGCCUUUGAGUUCAAUUGUGAAUCCUUUGAGAUCAACUAUCGAUUUGAGCUAAGUUUUAAGGAAGUAAGUAAGAGAAUGAGAAGAGUCAUAUACAUGAGUUCCAUGAUGUUUGUAAACCUUCGAGUCGAGUCGUUCAUGCCCAUAAAUUCCGCAUGGACUCCAUAAAUUGAGUAUCAUUGAGAGGAGUAUUAUCUUCAAGUUCUAAGUCUUGAGUAUUAAGUUCCUAAUCCCCUUUGAGAUUAUAUUUCUAAUCAUGGGACUAUUACAUGUUACCCAUGAAGUCAUUUAUUUGAAUUGUUCAUUCACAUAAUUCCGCAUGAACCCUAUAAGUCGAACAGUCUUGAGAUGAGAAGUAUCUUUGAGUCCUUGAGUUGAGUAGUUCAUGCUCAUAAUUCCGCAUGAACCAUCUGAGUUGAGCAUUCUUGAAAUGAGUUGUAUUAUUGAAGUUCUUUAGUUCCAAGUAUUAAGUUCUAUCUAUGGUUAUUGAAAACCUUGCAUUGAGUCGUUCACGUCCAUAAUUCAGCAUGAACCAUAUUUUAAGAAAUCUUUUACAAACGUUUAAACUUUGUUUUAACACUUAAGCUUUGAGUUGAGUAAAGAGUAAGAGUAAAGUUCAUUUCUUCAAAAAAAUUAUAUGGGAACUAAGUAUUCCCAAGAGUAAAUGUUUUUACAUUUAAGAUGAGAGGAAACUGAGAUUUCCAAAAGAGUCUUGAGCAAUUUGAGUAUCAUCUCUUUUAAUAGAUAGAUUUUUGAGUAAUUAUCUCAAACCACAGAAAAGUUAUGUUUCUAAAUAUAUGAGCUAGUAUAUUUUUGGGAGUAGUAUUGAGCACUGAUAUAGGGAGACUUCAUAUAACUCACAGUCCCCAUAAACCAUGUAGCCAUCAUGGGUAGAAAGGAUCAUACUUUUUAGAUGACUCCUUAGUGCUUUAUAGCAUAGACUAGUGGAUCCACUUAGUUAAGGCGUUCUAUAUGACGGCAAAGUAUAGGACAGUUCUGGCAGCGUGGGCAAGAUGUUGUAUCAUCACUUAGGCUCAUAGUGGUGGUUGUCGGUUAGAGAAACUACCAUAGACUUAUAUUGUACUUUUAUAUAAACAUUAAGUAUUAUUGUAUUUUUCAAUGCAUUGAGUUGCUAUCUACAGUUUUACAGCUUUCCAUAUAUAUGGCAUCUUUUACUAUUGAUUUAUCCUUGAGUAUCAUGAGUUGAGUAUCUUGAGUUAAUUUGUGCUUCAUUGAGUCGAGUACCUUAUUGUUGAGUUUCACUAAGUUGAGAACCUUAUUGCUGAUUUAAGUAUCUUAUCCCUGAGUACUUCUUAGUUGAGUAUGUUUGAGUAGUUUUGAGUACUCUUAAGUAUUCCUUGAGUUGAGGUGAACCAUGUUUCUUUGAGUUGAGUUGAGUUGAGUGAGUUGAGAAGAGGUAAGUAUGUUUCCUUUUUAUCAAGUUCAAGCUUAUGUUUAUACUUUAAAAUUCCCCUUACAUGCCCGUACAUUCCAUAUACUGAGCCAUUUGGCCUACAUCCUUUCAUGAUACAGAUUAAGGUAUUCGGGAUCAUCAACAGGAGCUUCGUUGAUACCACAUGGAGUUCGAGUUAACUAUGGUGAGCCUCCCUGCUUUCGGAGGAUUUCAUUUUCUUUUCAAUUUUGUCAGGAUGUCGUGGGUUUUGUCCCGACUUCCAUCUUUGUCAUUUAGAAGCUUCAUAGACAGAAAGUAGAGUUUCAGAAGUUUGUUCAUUUAUUUUGUUAAAUGUUUUAAAGACUUAAGUUGCCUAUUUUUUAGCGAGUUGAAUAACUUAUUUUUAUUCAGAGUUUUUCAUUUGAGUUAAAGCUUUGUAUUUGAGUUUCAUGAAUUAUAUUCGAUUUUUAAGCUUUUGAAUGCUUAAGUUAGUCUUCCACUUGUAGUCAGCCAGGAUGAAGGUUUACUUGGGGACCAGCAAUGGUUCUCGAGUUCCGGCCACGUCCAGGGUGUAGACUCAGGUCGUGACAAAUGGUCCUCUCAUGAAACCCAAUUCAAUGGUCCUCUCAUAGAACCCAUACCCAAACUGUUUGUGUAUCGGAACGUGGUACCCGAUUACAAUUAGUGUGCCGGACAUGACACCCGAUCCCAUAUCUGCGCCGAAACAUGGCACCCGAUCCAAGUUAGUGUGUCAAAACGUGAUACCCGAUCCAAUAUAUAUGUUGGUACGUGACAUCUAAUCCCAGUUAUUGUGUCGGAACGUGACACCCGAUCCAUUCAACAAGCCACAUUCACAAUCACAAUGUAGAUUCUCAUAAUAAUACAAUCAAGUGUUGAUUCAUGGUAUACAAUCAUUCGUUCAUACUUAAUUACAUUAGGUGUGAUCAAUAGGCUUCAUUCACAUAUAUAUACAUGCAUUACAAUGAAGCAAUUACUAACAUACAUCACACAAAACAUGAAAUCACAGUCAUCACCUACCUCGAAACCAAGCUUAAAUCCUUCUAAGACACUUGAGCCUUCCUUUUCCGGAUUCUUUCCGCUUGUUCGUGGUCUAAAAACAUACAAUUAACACAAGGAUCAAUAAACGAGGCCUAAUUACCCAGACUAUAAUCAACAUUAUCAACCCUAGGCAAACCGAAGAUCCCAAUACCCAAAUUUGGGUUUUUUCCACCCUUAACUUCAUAUCAAAACCUUCCCCCAUUGAUAAUUAUCCAAGAAACUACGUUCUACAUGUCACGACCCAGGGCUACCCUCUAGACGUAAUACGGCGUACGCGACCCCAAAGGGGUCUCAUACAAGCCUCAUAGCAUUCUUGAAACAUAGGAAAAUAGAGCGAAAUUUAAAACUUUUCUUUACAAUCGAAGUCUUUUAUAAAAUGAGAGAGAGUCUAUAACACUAUGUCUCAAACCAUCUAAAAUACUUGAAUACAACUUAGGGACACAUCCCUUACAUAAGUCUAAAACAUAAAACAAAUACAUAAAUGACAUAUGGUCAAGCCCUCGAAUACUAUGAGGACUCGCCUAUCUUCUUCUUCUUGAUCUACUAUGGUCCUAGCCACGAGGGUAGAAUCCGAUAUCUCCAAACCCUACACUUAUAGAAAAUGUAUGAAGUAUGGAAGCCAUGCAUAAAAAUCCUUAAAACAUGCAUAAAAGGGACAUUUUAUUUGAAACCAUGCUAUAUGCCACUUUGAACAUCAUCUUUGAAAUAGUUGGAGAAUGUAGCUCAUAAGACAAAUCAUGUACAAUUCAUCAUAGCAUAAAGGAUACCAUCAUAAUCACAAGCAUAGUCUCCAACGUAAACAUAAUGCAUACUCCAAUCUUCACAAGACAUAGUUCAUAUACAUAGUUACAUACCAAGAUCAUCUCAUCAUAAUAAAACUACCAUAUAAGCAACCCUAAGCUAUACAUGUGCAAUGCAUAGAUAGGAUCCCAUAAUCCUAUCUACACUAAGUAUCACUUUAAGGCCACCAUAAUCAUGCAUAACAUUGACCUUAUCCAUAGCCAACACUCAUAGACAAGGCGACACUCAUGUUCAUAACUUGUAUUAAGUAAAGUCACUCAUAGCAACAAUCCAUAUCAUGCAUACAUAAGUUCAUAUAUCUUCAUAGCAUAAGGAAACCACACCAUAACCCCUUUAUAAGUCUACUUGUGCAAUGUAUAAGUGAAGUCUUAUACCUCCACUCACACUAAGUAAAGCUCAUUAAGAAGUCAUAAAUAUAGUUCAUGUUCAUGUUCAUAAUUCAUAAUAAAGCAUGCAUUAACUCAUAGUCAUCAAGUCAUAAGGAAACCUACCAUGCCCACUCUCAAAGCCUACUUGUACAAUGCAUGAAUGAAGUUCAAUACCCCUAUUCACACUAAGUAGAACCUCUUGAGGAACCAUAGUAAAUAACCCAUGUUCUUGUUCAUAGUUCAUAUUCUUGUUCUUGAUCAUGUCAUGGUUCAUGUUCUUGUUCAUGUAGGGAAAUAGUCUUAACCGACAUAGACCAUGUGACCUACAUGAAAUUCGGUGUCAUGCCCCACACUGAAAAGAGGUGUCCUACUUGCCUAUGGUAGAACUAACAUGUUUAGCUUUUAGGUGGAUCCACUAGCUAAAGACCUAUGUGGGCACAUAGUUAUGGGAUAAGGAGAUUGCUACUAGAAACCCAGACUGACUGACGUAGAAGGUUUCCAUCUCAUGAGAUAACAUGUUUUGGGAACCCGGACUGACUAGCAAAAAGGAACCCAUUGGGAAGCCAGACUAACUAGCGUAAAAGCUUCCAUCUCAUUUCCAUAUCCACUCGGUGCUAAGCAUAAUUCCCUUUAAGUUCAUGUUAAGUCUUUACUUAAGUUCACGUUUAUGAAGGGUGACUUAACACUCAAUCCAAUACAACAUCAUGAUAUAGCUCAUAGAUUCAUUAGGUGAGAAUGGCCUUUCAACCUUAGAAUCAUUAAUAUGUGAGUAAACCUUUCACAUCGUGUUCAUAGUGUUAAUAAGAAUAGCCUUUCAAUCAACACAACAACAUUAUCAUAGUCCUAGACAAUUCAUGCAUAGUCAUGUGUAAGGGUAAGGAGAGAAUGACCUUUCAACAACUACCACAAUUACACAAUAGUCAUAGGAUCUUCACUUUCUAAGUGAAUCAUGAAUUCAUACACAAUUCUUGUCAACAUGUACAAACCUUCAUAAUUUACCCUUCAAGGGCUAUGAAUCAACUCAACCCAAACAUCUAGAAUUAGCACAUUAGAUAAAGGCAAUAUCAAGAUUCAAUAAUACAAUUAAUAUAUUAGUCAUAUCUUAGUCAUGUUCAUGCAUGGGUGUGUGUGUGAUUGUCCUUCCAAUGACACAACAAUAACAUAAUCAUAGACACUUUACUCUCAAAGUAUUCAUAAACAUGCACAUAAUAUCAUAAUCAUACAUACUCUUCAUAUCUUGCAUUCAAGGAUCAUAGAUCAUGAUAAGUCAACACAUCUAGCAUUUACUAUAUUAGACAUGGAUAGAAUCAUGACUCAAGUAAAACAUUCAUUUUAUGCAUAAACUCAUGUGAUCAUAUUAUAGGUCAUGUGGGUGAAGUCUUUUCACAAUUAUGCCAUAUACAACUCAAUAUACAUAAUAGCUUCUUUCUUAAAGCCUUGACAUCCUUAGCUUAUUCACUUUAGCUUUUACCUUUAAAGCCCUAGGAGUCAUCUUCAUGUCACAAGCCUUACUCUCAAGCAAUGCCUCACAUGUUCAUUAUGUAUACCUAGUUCUCAAGGUAAACUAACCACAUGCCUCAUUCUUGAUCAAUUAUAGUCAUAUAGGAGACAUAUAAACUCAAUCUCAAUACUACACAACCAUGAUCCCUCACAUAAGCCCUAAUCAAAUCAAUUCAUGUCUUGAAGAUUUACCCUUAAUCAAUUCAUGUCUAGGUCAGCUAAUCUAAGGCAAUUCAUAACGAAGUUCAUCAUUCUUGGAAGGUCACAUGUAAACCCUCAAUUUACCUCUUUCAUGUCAUGAUACUAGACUAUAUCAAUUUUACUAUAUACCCUUAGGUUAAUCAAGGAUACAUGUUUGAUUAUACUAGAUCAUGUAAUUACACCAAGAACAACCAUUAAUCACAUAAUUGGGUCCAAUAUUCAACAAUUCCCACAUCAUGAAGUCAAUUUAGUAAAGUGGGGGAAAUCAUGGGUCCAAGGGGAGAUUUUCAUCAUAAUUCAACAAUACCCCAUUAAUCCAAUCAUAAUUCAUCAUAAUCAACCAUAAUAAACCAUAAUUAAACAAUUGAAAUAGUUUUGGAAGAAGACCCAUGACAUAGAUUAAAACCCUAGGUUUUUGGGGGAUUUUGGAAACUUCAAAUCAUCUUUUGAAAUGGAUCCUUGAUUGAAACUUAAUCAAGGAUGAAUACUAACAUACCUUGACUGGAGAUCCUUAAAGAAAUUGGAGAAUAAAGGCUGCUCCUUGAACCCUAAGCUUGACCUUGUUCUUGUUCUUCAAUGGAGGUUUCUAGAAAAAAGAUUUUUGGAGAGGAGGGGUGGUUAUAAUUUGGGGUCUUGAGAUAUAAUGAGUUAAUAGGGUGUUUAAUGACUUAAAAUACUCUAUAUAUGUGUAUAAAUACUAUAUUAAACAACCCCUACUUAAAAUAAUUAAAUUAGGAAUUAAUUGGAAACCACUUACCUUGGCCGAAUUGGAGGCAGCUUGUGCAGGCAUGACCUAUGACCUGCCCCCCACGGACCGUGAGUGGAUCCAUGGGGCGUGUUGUAGGUUCGUGUUUCAUGACCUGCAGCUCCUAAUCAUGGCCUUGACCUAUGCCCCAUGACGUACGGGGCGAGGAUGGACCUACGCCCAGUAGGUCCCAUCCAUAGGUCACCACAUUUUUGACAGCUUUUUGGUUCUAGGUAGCCUUGGAGGUUUAGACUUUAGGGUCCUCCUCAAGGACCCUUGGUUGGUCCUUGGGGGGGUCGUACCUUGACUUCUAACUCCUAAACACCUCAACCUAAGCUCGGGAACUCAUUUUACACUUCUAAACCUCCCACCAAACUCAAACACUCUCACCUAAGGCUCUAGUUUCACCUACUAGUUUUCCGGGUUGUUACACUACGGAUCGAAUUAUGGAUUAGGGGAGUUAAAUCCUUACCUUUAGUGCUACAAGAGGUGAAAAAUUGUCAAGAACUUUCCCUAGGUCGUCCCUUAGCUCUGAAGAACGAAACUUGCAGAAUAAUAACAUUUUUUGGGGUUUAUUUCCGACUUAAGUCACGUCUGUCCUGAUGUGGCAGACCUCGAUCAUCCCGCUACAGCUGCCCCGCCCUGGAGGCUUGCACGGAGAUAGAGAGUUAAAUUCAGAGCUUCAAAUCCCCAUGUCACAACACACCUUCAACCCGUGACACUCAGAAAAUACUCGUUCAUGCUAAGAUAAGUUUUGGGAGUUCUACUCGCCCGAAUUUGAUUCUGUAUAGUCGUACGGGUUCCUUAACGUCUUAGCUAUCUACUCAUGUGAUAAAAUUCAUAAUUAAAUCUCUCAUUCGUUACCAGAUUUCCCUAGACCUCACUGAAUCCGAUUUCGUCCAAAUCUGGACUAGGUUAGGAAAUUCUAAGUUACUACCAAAAAGUUUUCUGACCCCAAUUCUUUCCCCAUUGACUUUUCCCUAACGACGGAAUCAGGUCGUUACAAUAUAUAUAUAUAUAUAUAUAUCAAAUCUAAUAGUUUUCAAACUUUAUUACGUGUAUCAUAUGAAUAUCAACUGAUCACCAUUUGUUAUGUAUCAUACACAAAAAAAUGUUAUUUGAAAUAAUUAUAUGUAUAAUGUACCUUUUUAUAAAAUACAGUAUUUCUCAAAUAAAAUAAGAUACAUAAAUAGUAGUAUAUCAUGCAUUAUUUUAUUAGGCAUGAUAUGUAAAUUCAAAUUUAUAAUAAAUGUAUCAGAUACAUAACAAUUACCACACAUACAUGUAUCCAUUAAAGAUAUGUAGCUCUUUAGACUUUUUGUAUGUUGUAUCAAUGCAUAGCGGAUACAUUGAAAAUUAUGGCUCUUGUUUCUUCACCUCAACGAAAUAUCUGAUUUACAAAGUUUUCUUCAACUCAUCGAUCUCUAAUUCAGCUGCAAUUGCUGAUUUGAGAUUCACAAAAUCAAAAUUUGACCAACAACAAUUCCAUCACUGUUAUAUCGUUCAUACCUCACCUCACUUUCUCAUAUUCCGAAAUGUCUCGACAUGAUCGACUAGUUCAUGUUGUAUUAGUACAAUUUGUCAACAAGUUUGAUUAAAAAAUUGAGAGUUUUUUUUUGAAGAAUGAGAAGAAGAUUUUGAAUUUUAAAUUAUGCUAGCCUGUUACAAUUUGUCAAUUAAUGUAUCGAUCUAAAAUCCAAACAGUAAUGUAUCGGUCUAAAAUCAAACACCUUAUGAGCAAUCUUUACUACUUUAAUGUAUCAGGUAGGACUACAAUACUUAGCAAUCUACUAAAUAUUUUAGGAAUAGUUAUGUAUCAUGAGUAAUAUAUCCAUCUCGAGAUCACAAAUUAAAAAAUUGACUGCACAACACAAUACAUGUAAUUUCAUAUCUUUCAUUAUCAGAUCUCUUUACCUGAAGUUAAAGUUAUUAAAAGUAAGGCCAAACACAUAUACAGCCCCUCUAACUUGUCCACAUUUUUCAUUUUGACAUUUUAUCUUAGCCUUGUUCCAUUUUAACCAUUGAACUCCAUUUUUUAUGUUCCAUUUUAACACGAAAUACUAUUUUUAUGAUUUAUUUUUUUUUAUAUAUUAUUCAAUUGCAACUUCUUAUUUUAAAUCGACAUGUGUCAUUUAAUUUUAGUUAAAAAAUUAAAAAUUAACAAAAAAUAAUUCUUUUUAAAAAAUAAUAAUUUCUUUUUAAGAGUGUUAUGUAUUUUUGUGUGAAAAAUAACCGAAGAAAUUGCGUUGGUUUUCUUUCUUUAAAAUCACCGACAACCUAACAAAGUCAGUCGAGUUUUAACAUUGUUUAGUAGUAUUAUUAGCAAUGAACAAGAGUUCUUUUUUUAGUAGUGUUAUUAACAAAAUCAGUCGAGUCUUUUUGAAGAUGGGUUUUUUUAUUCGUAUUGAUUUAUAUUAAAAAUUAAAAGUGAGUAUUUGUGUUAAAUUUAGAUAGCCUAGAUGAUAAGAAAAAAUAAAUAAGUAGUGUUAUUUUAAUUUAAUUGAAUGUUUUAAGAAAAAAAAUCAAAGAACUUUCGUCAAUUUAUUUUCAUGCAAAAAUACAGAGAAAUAUCAAAAAAUAAUAUUAUUGUUUGAAAAUUUUUAUGCUCGUUCACAAAUGUUUAAUUUUUUUAAUUAACAGGCACAUGUCUAUUUUUUUUAAAUAAGAAAUUACAAUUGAAAAACAUAAAUAAAAACAAAUCAUAAAAAUUAGUAUAAGUGUUUAAAUGGUACAGAAAAAAUGGAGUUUAAAGGUUAAAACGGAAUAAGGCUAAGUUGGAGUGCCAAAAUGAAAAAAUGAGGGCAAGUUUGAGGGGCUGUAUAUGUGUUUGGCCUAAAAGUAAUGUACCAUGCACAAUUUUAUGGGCAUGAUACAUAAAUACAUGCAUAAAAGCCAAUACAUAUGAAUCCAUCCAAUUGCUCUAUCAAUGUUGUGUUCUUCUACUUUUUCCAUUUCUUUUACCCUGCAGAAGCAACGAGAGUUUGAGUUCGACAUUUAGUAUACAAGUAUAUAGUCAAUGCCGAUAGAGGAGGAGAGUGCAAUAGAGGCGGCGACUCCGGCGGGAACAAGCAUCAAGCUGCUAUAGCUUUUUUAACAUUUUGGACAUCAAGCAAAAGUAGAUAACAUAAAUGCUAGAUAUUAUUAUAUUCUCAUUGAUGAAUGAAUUUCUCCAGAUAGGGCAUUUGUUGUUCUCCGAUAGCCAAGUGAAUAUGCAACUCCUAUGGAAUACAUGAGAGCACUGUGUGGUCACCGCCAUGAUUGAUUCAUGAGAAAAUUUGCCAAAGCAAAUAGGGCAUAUGUCGUCUGCCAACUCAAAAUUAUGCACAAUAUUCUUUAAUAAUACUUCCCCACUGUCAUAAUUUUCAACAAUUUUAAAUCAUAAUUGAAAGGAUCUUCGAUGAACUGGGAGAAGAAUUUUGAAUCUCAAAAAUUUUGAAUUAUUUUGAAUCAAAAUUGAAAGAAUCUUCGAUGAUCUGGGAGAAUAAUUUUGAAUUUUGGGAAGUUGUUACAUAUUGGAAUGGAUUGAUAUCAAUCAAUUCUGUGUGAUUUGUGGGAAAGAAAACCAAUUUUAUGUUAAUAUUUCAUAUUAAGCGCAACAGACAAGUUUUAUAAUGUAUCACAAUUGAUGUAUCCGGAUAAAAUUUAUGUAUUCGAAUGGCUGAUAUUUUAAGAGAUUUUUGUAAAAUAGAAAAGUGUAGGGACAUGAUGUAAUUUAAGUCUUACACUAUGAGAUUUAGGUAAGUUAUAUUUAAUAUUAUAGUCACACUUUAGUUGUGGGUUAUUAAUCUUAUUAGAAAAUUUUAAUCUUUCGUGAGUGAUGAACUUACAAACAUUGAGGUUGAAGAGAAAAAAUAAUUGUAAUGCUCUUAAUUUAGUAGCUAAACAAAUAAAUACAAUAUAAUUUAUUUAUUUAUAAAUUAUAUAUGGUAUAUACUGAUAUUUUUUAUCUAUAUAAAUGCGAAUGUUGUAAAUAAAUGAAAUCAAAUUAAUGUUAUGAAUAAAAGAGGCCGUUUAUUGAAUUAAAUUUAUAAUUUUCUCAAUGUAUCAAUAAAAAAUUAUUAUUGUCAACCUACCUUUACUUAAACUAUAUUAAUUAUUAUUAAUUAGACGUUAAUAUUAAGUUAUUUAUACAUGAAAAUAGUGCAUAUAAUAUACUAGAGGUGUACAUGGCCAGGUUGGUUCGGGUUUUUCAAAUAUCAAAUCAAACCAUUUGUGUCGGAUUUUUAAAUUUAUAAACCAAACCAAACCAAUAAAACUCGGGUUUUUCAACCUCGGGUUUUUUCGAAUUUUUUGGUUUUUCGGGUUGUUUCUGGUUUUUCCGGUAAAGUAUUCAUACAAACAUAUACUUUACUUGUACUUCAAAUAUUUUUUUAGUCCUAUCUAAGGUGUUUCUUAAAAAAAUAACACAAUAUGAUAUGAUUAAUGACACCAAAAUAUCCAACAAAAAUAAUAAUAAUGAAAUCACGUAAAAUAAAUAUUACAAAUUAACAAGUCAUAAUAAAAAUGAUCAUAAUUUAAAAGUACUAAAUCAUGCUAAAAUAAGUUUAAUAAGUAUUAGUUACAUGACUAAAUAUUAAAGAAAAUUAAAAUUAGAUUAUGUAUUUUAAUUGUCUAAACCAAUAUAAAACUAAAGAACAAAUAUUCAAUAUUAUUGUCAUUCUUAGUGUUGAAUUGAUUUUCUUUUUGCAUUAGUAUUAAUUUGAUUUAGAUUUAAGCUUUAUUAUAAUUACCAACAUUUGUGGACUAUUAUCUUUAUUGGCUCAUUCAUAAUUCUAAGUUUCAAACUCGAAAUAAUAUAUUAAAAGAUAAAAACUAUGAAAAAAUAUAAGAAAUAUUUAANNNNNNNNNNNNNNNNNNNNNNNNNNNNNNNNNNNNNNNNNNNNNNNNNNNNNNNNNNNNNNNNNNNNNNNNNNNNNNNNNNNNNNNNNNNNNNNNNNNNNNNNNNNNNNNNNNNNNNNNNNNNNNNNNNNNNNNNNNNNNNNNNNNNNNNNNNNNNNNNNNNNNNNNNNNNNNNNNNNNNNNNNNNNNNNNNNNNNNNGGUUUUUUUUUCGGUUUGCGGUUUGGUUCGGUUUUCGAUUCGAUUUUGUACACCCCUAUAAGAUACUAUGAUAUGAUUUUCAAAAUAUAGCUUUAGCUAAAAUGGGUUCAUGUGAUAGAAUAAACACGAACAAUCAUUCAAGAAUUAUCAAUGAAUAUGCGAUACAAUAAUUUCAAUAAUAGAAUUCAACAAUGGGAAAUUAGAAUCGUAGGAAAAUUGAAAUCAUAAACUUUGGGGGAAAAUCCCAGUUUUGAUAUUAUUAACUGAAAUUAUAGAUAUAGAGCGUGAGAAAGAACCGAGUUUCUCACUAUGAUAGUCUUGCAUACCUUGAAGAGUAGACAAUAAGCUAGCAGGAAGAACUCUUGAUGGACUUGCUCGAAUGAAACCCUAGAUUUGUCUCUUUUAAGAGAUUUUGUUUCUUGAAGUUUUGGGAAGAAAACAAUGACAAAUCCCUUGAUCUCACAAUCAUUCGGGAAUUAAUUAAAAUUCGAGUGGGGAGGUUUUCAAAGAGGAAAGAACCAAAAUACCCUUAAUUAGAAAAAGUCGAAUGCAUUUUUCACUUAGGAACGGAAGGGUUGUACCUCAUGGAUCAUCGCGGAACCAUAGGGUCACCUCGUGGGCCCCAUCACUGACCUAGGGUGGUUUUCAGCCUCUGUAGUUUAGUUUGGUGACAGGUGUGGUGCGGACCUCAACACAAUGCUUACAUAACUUCUUUCUCACAUAUCAGAUUAAUGAAAUAAUUUGUUGCAUUGGAAAGUAGACUCACAUACCUUUAAUAUGAUAGAUUGCGGGCCACGUUACUCAUUAUUUUCUAAGAUAUAUUCUUAUUUUAAGUUGACCCCUUUUAAAACUUUCAUGUAAACUUUAUUGAUAGGGAAGCUUUGAACUCGACUUAGUGAUAGCGGUUUCUUAUGACCCUAUUUCACAUCUAAUACACUUCUCACACUUAGGAAUUUAACUAGACACUUGUACACAAUUAGGAAAUAAUCCUAUCCAGGCCUAUAAGAUCUUAGCGUAGAAUUUGUGUGGUGUUGCAUUGAUACCUGAUCUUCUAUUACAAAUGCUUUCCCAAAGCACAUCUUUCCCAUGUUCUUGUUUAUACUUGUUGUUUACGAUACUUUUUCAUCAGUUAGUUGGACGGAAAGUGUACUUAGUGACUGAAGAGUGAUUGAGGGACCAUGAUUUCUUUGAGUAGGAGAAGGUUAGGUUUAUAAAUAUUCUCUACUUUUACAGAAUAUCAAGUGGUGAUGUUUGAGUCAACCAUAUUUCAAGAAGAGAUUAAUACUUCACCUAUGUUAAAAUUUGAUAAAUAUUGUAUAGACAUUCUAAAUAUGGGUAGAGUAUAUAUUUAAAUGUAUUAAGUAUGGUACAGUAUAUAUUUAGAUAUUAUAGGUAUUUUAUUUCCUUUUGCUUCUUAACUUCUUGUGUAUAAAUAUGGUUGUAGUCUCUUUUAUUCAUUGAUGAAUAAAAUUAUUAAUUCUCCAGAUUUUCUUGUGUUUCUCUGUCUUGUUUUGCAGCAUGGUAUCAGAGCCUCCUCGGAUUUUUGAAAUCCAUAUUCACUAUUCUAUUUAUCUCGUGGUAUUUUGUUGAUAGCAAUUACUGCUUCAUCACUUUGUUGGGUCUCUUCUGUCUUUCAGUUUUGUCUUCAUUUUUUUUGGUUUGUUGACAUUAAUUUUUUGAGUGAAUAUCAUGGAAAAGAAUCAUAUUUCUCAACCUAUUUUCAUUGUUCUAAAUGGAUCUAACUAUCGCCAUUGGUGUGAGGCAAUGCGUAUUUUUUUGAAAGGGAGAAAGUUGUGGCGAUAUGUCACAUGUGAUUUAACCUAUCCAAAGCAAACUGAGACUGAAACAAAUGAAAAGUUUGUUAAUCAUUUAGAAGAUUGGGAUAGCCGAAAUCAUCAAAUUAUUACAUGGCUUCAAAAUACUUCUGUUCCAAGUAUUCACCUCCAAUUUGGACAAUUCGACACCACAAAAGAGGUAUGGGAUCAUCUCUCUCAACGAUAUACUACUUCUGAUCUUUCUCAUCGUUUUCAAUUGAUGAAGGAGAUAGCUAGCUUGAAACAAGAAAAGGGAGAACCUGUCUAUGAAUUUCUCUCGAAGAUGGAAUCCAUCUAGAAUCAAUUAACCUUGACUGAACCCAUUCUUAGAAAUUUUGAUGCUGCUGCUCAAUUUUUAGCUUACCGCAACGAUGAUAAAUUGAUUCAAUUCUUGAUGGCUCUUACUGUUGAUUAUGAACCAACUCGGACUACAUUGCUUAACCAACAACCUUUGCUAACUCUUGAAGAUGCUCUUCCUCGCCUAAAAUCUGAAGAAACUCAUUUGGAUCUUACGCGACCAGUGGAUAACUCAGUUUUUACAGCCACUAACAGAAUUGGUGCCAAAUUUUGUCGCAAUUGUCGUCAAACUGGUCAUGCCUUACACGACUACCCAGUUAUUGAAUGUAAUAAAUGUAAGAAAAAGGGACAUAUAUCUAGGAAUUGUCCUCCAAUUUGCAGGUACUGUAAAAAGGAAGAUCACUUGAUUGAGAAUUGUCCUACUCGUCCUCAGAACAAAAAUCAAUCGCAUUUGAAUUAGUCAUCAAAUCUAGUUCUUGCAGUAACCAACAAUUCUGGAACUUCAUCAAUUGACCUUCAAGCUCUCCUUAGUCAACUCCUUUCUCCAACUGGUAACAAUCUUGCAGCUCUAGUUACUCCUUCAGGUAAUUCAUCUUAGUACUUUGAUUCAGCAUGUUGCAAUCACAUGACGUAUUCUUCCAAGAUUUUCUCUGACCUGGCUACAAUUCCUAGCCCAUCAUCCAUUCAUACUACUGAUGGACCUAAUAUGAAUGUUAGUCAUAAAGGAUCUAUUUUUUCAUCAGAUCUCUCUUUUCCUGAUACUUUUCUUAUUUCAAGUUAAAUUUUUAAUCUUAUCUCUGUUGGACAAUUAUGUGAUUUGGGAUAUGAUAUAAUUUUUUCUUCUCGUGGUUGUUGAGUGCAGGACCUUCAGACAGGACAAAUCAUUGGGAAAGGCCGUAAAGUUAGGCGUAUGUUUGAACUCACUAGUCUUCAUAUUUAUAUUCCCCAAUCAUCUCCCGUGUCUCGAUUAUGUGUUGUUUCUUCUAGUGUUCCUUUGUCAUUAUGGCAUCAACGUUUUUGUCAUUGUUCUUUGAGUAAACUUCGUUCUUUAGUUUCUAGUGGGUUUUUAGGUAAUGUUAAUGAGAAAAGUUUGGAUUGUAUUGCAUGUAAACAGGCCAAACAACCUACUUUACCUUUUAAUAAAAAUCCUUCUAUUUCAAAGUUUCCUUUUGAUUUAAUACAUUCUGAUGUUUGGGGACCCUCCCUUGUACCAAGCAUGAUUGGAUCACGAUACUUUGUCGUUUUUAUUGAUUAUUUUUCCUAAUUCACAUGGAUAUAUCUUAUGAAAAAUCGUUCGGAACUACCUCAAAUCUAUAUUAAUUUUAUCAAUAUGGUUAAAACUCAAUUUGGUAAAAUUAUCAAAGUUUUUAGGCGUGACAAUGCCAUGGAAUAUCGUGAUUCUAAACUUUUGAAUUUCUUAUAUGUAAAUGGUACACUUUCUGAAUUCUCUUGUCCCGGUACCUCCCAACAAAAUGGACGAGCUGAACGUAAGCAUAGGCAUAUUCUUGAUUUUGUUCAGGCCAUGAUUAUUUAUUCACGUUGCCCUGAGCGCUUUUGGGGUGAAGCAGCUCUUACUGCAGUGUUUACUAUCAAUAGAAUCCCAUCUUCUGUUCUUGGAAACAUGUCUCCUUAUGAACGUCUUUACAAGGUAGCUCCUGACUACACAUUACUUAAAGUAUUUGGCUCUUCUUGUUUUGUUCUUCUUCAACCACAUGAACACACAAAAUUAGAACCUCGUGCUCAAGUUUGUUUCUUUCUAGGAUAUGGGAUAGAAUAUAAAGGUUACUGUUGUUGGGAUCCUGUGUCAAAUAGCAUUCGUAUUUCUCAGCAUGUUAUUUUUUAGGAACAUAUUAAAUUUUCCUCAUUGUCAAAGUUUGAAUCUGUUCCAUCAAGCGAAGUGACAUUCUUUUCUAAUCCUUCUGUUGAGCUUUUUCAAAGUGAUUUUAAUACAGGUUCAUCUAGUGAGUCAGACAUUGCACCUAAUGGUUCACCUAUUUCCCUUGAUGCAGGUCCAACUAAUGGUCCAGUUCAUGAAAGUAGUACGACAUCCAAUUCUCAUGAUCAAUCUCCAAUUGAUAGUUACACUCUAGAUAUGAAUGUUGAUUUUGAGGUACCCUCAUCUUCUCUUCUUCCUAAUAACACUUCAUCUAUCCGUCAACAAAGAGAGAAAAAAUCCUCAUAGUUAUCUUCGUGAUUAUCAAUGUUAUUGCACCAUGCUUAAUUUACAUGAGCGUGGUACAUACAAAGAGGCAUCCAGUGAUCCGUGUUGGCAGUAAGCUAUGAAAGAAGAGUUGCAGGCCUUUGAAAAAACUCAUACUUGGGACUUAGUUGACCCUCCUUUUGAUAAAAACUCUUGUUGAUUGCAAAUGGAUCUAUAAGAUCAAGACACGAUCUGAUGGCUCUGUUGAAAGAUUCAAGGCUUGAUUAGUUGCUCGAGGAUUCACCCAGGAGUAUGGAAUUGAUUAUGAGGAGACCUUUGCUCCAGUAGCUCGUGUUACCUCUGUUCGUGCCCUUCUUUCUAUUGCGGCAGCUAAACGGUGGGGACUUUCUCAAAUGGAUGUUAAAAAUGAUUUUCUUAAUGGAGAUUUGGAGGAAGAGGUUUAUAUGAAACCUCCACCAGUAUACAAUUAUCCUCCAAAUAAAGUAUGUCGUCUGCGAUCGGAAAGGAAUAAGGCCCGAAAUGCCUAUGUCGAAAGAAAAGAUAGUCUUUAAGUGAAUGCACCCGGUUCUGGCCUUGAGGUCCAGCGGAUCAAUCCAGAAUUGGGGAUCCCCUCGAUAUCUUUCUUUCUUGUGAUUCAAUCACGACGGAUAUCUAGUCAACUGCGGUUACGCUUACACCAAGAACCCCUAUGAAGAGAUUGUCCACUCUUUGUUUUGUAAAGUAGGGUGGCUGGGUGCUUUAAAUAAGAAGAUUUCAAAAAAAGUUGCAGAGAACAAUAUGAACUGAGGCAAUCUUUCCAACGGGUUCAAACUGGACUGAAGGGAGGAGGAAAAAAAAGAGUCCUCUCUUCUGUGCAUUAUAUGGUUUGAAACGAGCUCCACGAGCUUGGUAUGCAAAGUUUAGUUCAACAUUGAGCAAAUUGGGAUUCUCUUCUAGCCCAUAUGAUACUGUUCUUUUUGUACGCAAGACAACACAAGGUAUUGUUCUUUUGAUUCUUUAUGUGGAUGAUAUGAUUAUUACUGGUGAUGAUACUACUGGUAUUUCCGAGGUUAAAGAAUUUUUUAGUACUAAUUUUGAGAUGAAGGAUUUGAGGUCUCUAAACUAUUUCUUGGGCUUCGAAGUUCUCACAUAUGAUAAUGGGAUUUCUCUAUCUCAAGUUAAAUAUGCUACAGAUUUGUUAUCAAAAGCAGGUAUUAGCGAUGAUAAAAUUGAGAGCACACCUCUUGAGCCUAAUGUGCGAUUUUCUCCAACCGAUGGUACUUUCUUGUCUAAUGCCAUUCUUUAUCGAACACUUGUAGGUAGUCUUAUCUAUCUAACAGUUACUCGUCCAGAUAUUGCUUAUGUUGUUCACAUAGUUAGUCAAUUCAUGGUUGCACCACUAUUAAAAAGCUGCUAAAAAACGACGGACAGCAUCGCUCCAAAAAGCAACGCCAUUUGCCACAUUGUCUGUCGCUUUUUAAUAAAAAUAAUUAUUUUUUAAAUUAUUUGUCAAAAAGCGACAGACACAUCUCUUAGUCCGUAUCUUUUUUUUGCGGAUUUUUGCGCCAAAUAUAUAUAUAAUUAAUAAUUAAUUGAUUAAUUAUUUUUUUAAAGGAGCAAUGGACAGCAUCUUUAAGUUCGUCGCUUUUUGGUCAACAUGACUGGUCAAACAUUUAAGAAAAGCGACGGAUAGCAUCUCUUAGUCCAUCGCUUUUUAUGUCAAAAUUUUGGUCAAAUAUUUUUUUUAAAAGCGACGGACAAAGAGACGUUGUCCGUCGCUUUUCUUAAAAUAUCUUUGACCCAGAUCGGGAUUUUCUUAUUUUCUUCUCUCUCUUCUCUCUUCACUUUUAUUCUCUCCCUUCUCUCUAUCGAUCUCCCUCCACCGGCCGCCCGUCGCUGCCUCUCCUCUUUGUUAAGGUUGGUGUUUAAUUUUAGGUUUUUUCAAUUCUAGUGAUUAUAGUUGAUUGUUAGUUAGUAUAUUACUUUUUUAGUUUGUUGGGUUGUGUUAUUGUUAAUUUGAUUUGAUUAUUGUUAGUUAGGUAGAGAAUUGGAGAUUUUUUAUUUAACGGUUUUCUUUUAAAUUGGGUAUUGUAAUUAGUGAAUGAAUUAGGUUUUUUAUUUAUUUUAGGACUAGUUUCAACUUGAGAAUAUAUAACUUGAUUGUGAAUUGAGAUUUUUUUUAAAUUUGAUUGAUAUAUUGUUAGUUAGUAAAGUGUUACUUUGAAGUUAGAAAUUAGUAAUUGAAGUACUGUAUAUGAUGAAUAUUUGAAUGUCAUGACUACAUAGUGAUGAAUGUUUGAAUGUCAUGAACAUAUAUUGAUCGAUGAGGGUUUUUUGAAUUAGAACUUGAAUAUAUAACUAAUUGUUGGAUUAGAAGUUUAUAUAUAACUAGAUAUGAACUUGAAGUUGAACUUGAACUUGGAACUUAAAUAUAACUAAUUAAUUCUUGGAUUAGAAGUUUAUAUAUAACUAAUUUUAGAAAUUGGAUAUGAAUUAUUGAAUUUAAGUAGAACUUGAAUUUUUGUAGGAUUUUAGAACUUUAANNNNNNNNNNNNNNNNNNNNNNNNNNNNNNNNNNNNNNNNNNNNNNNNNNNNNNNNNNNNNNNNNNNNNNNNNNNNNNNNNNNNNNNNNNNNNNNNNNNNNNNNNNNNNNNNNNNNNNNNNNNNNNNNNNNNNNNNNNNNNNNNNNNNNNNNNNNNNNNNNNNNNNNNNNNNNNNNNNNNNNNNNNNNNNNNNNNNNNNNNNNNNNNNNNNNNNNNNNNNNNNNNNNNNNNNNNNNNNNNNNNNNNNNNNNNNNNNNNNNNNNNNNNNNNNNNNNNNNNNNNNNUAUUGUAGGAUUUUAGAACUUUAGAAAUCUGAAUUAUUUUAGGAUUUUAGAACUUUAAGUUGUGAACUUUAGAGAACUUGAAUUUUUGUAGGAUUUUAGACUUUAUAAGGUUGUCAGCGUUAAAAAUCUUGAAUUAUUGUAGGAUUUUAGAACUUAAAGUUGUGAACUAUAGAGAACUUGAAUUUUUGUAGGAUUUUAGACUUUAUAAGGUUGUCAGCGUUAAAAAUCUUGAAUUAUUGUAGGAUUUUAGAACUUUAAGUUGUGAACUUUAGAGAACUUGAAUUUUUGUAGGAACUUUAGGUUAUGAAACGUUAGAAAUCUUAAAUUAUUAUAAAAUUUUAGAACUUUAGAACUUUAAGUUGUGAAUUUUAGAGAACUUAAAUCUUUGUAGGAUUUUAGAAUUUUAGGUUAUGAACUUUAGAGAACUUGAAUUAGGAUUUUAGAACUUUAUAAGAUUGUAAAUGUUAGAAAUUUUGAAUUAUUGUAGGAUUUUAGAACUUUAAAAUGUGAACUUCAAAGAACUUGAAUUUUUGUAGGAUUUUAGAACUUUAUAAGGUUGUGAGCGUUAGAAAUUUUGAAUUAUUGUAGGAAUUUAAACUUUACGUCGUGAACUUUAGAAAUCUUGAAUUAUUGUGGAAUUUUUAGAACUUUAAGUUGUGAACUUUAGAGAACUUGAAUUUUUGUAGGAACUUUAGGUUGUAAAACGUUAGAAGUCUUGAAUUAUUGUAGAAUUUUAGAACUUUAAGUUAUGAAUUUUAGAAAACUUGAAUUUUUGUAGGAUUUUAGAACUUUAAGUUGUGAACUUUAGAGAACUUGAAUUAUUGUAGGAUUUUAGAACUUUAGGUUGUGAACUUUAGAAAUCUUGAAUUAUUUUAGGAUUUUAGAACUUUAGGUUGUGAACUUUAGAAAUCUUGAAUUAUUUUAGGAUUUUAGAACUUUAGGUUGUGAACUUUAGAAAUCUUGAAUUAUUUUAGGAUUUUAGAACUUUAAGUUGUGAACUUUAGAAAUUUUGAAUUAUUGUAGGAAUUUAAACUUUACGUCGUGAACUUUAGAAAUCUUGAUUUAUAAAAUUUAUGAACUAAUUAUUAGGUUGAAUUUUAGAAAUCUUGAUAAAAUAUAGUCUUUAUGAACUUUUUGUAAUUUUGAAACGAAUUUUGAAAGACUUUAUAAGUCUUUAAAUUGUGAUUUAGAUAUUUUUGAAUGUUAAUUUAAGUUUGUUGUUUUAUAUUUUGUGUAGGUUCUUUUUAAUGUUUUGUGUUUGAUUGAGGCUGAAUUGAAUUGAAUUGAAUUGCUUGCAAGUGAGGAGGCCAGUUUCUGCUGUCAAAAAAAUUACAUAAAAAGUGACGGACAGGGUGGUUUUGUCCGUCGCUUUUUUUAAUUUUAUUUUUUUUAAACCUAGAAAAGCGACUGAUAGAAUCCUUUAGUUCGUCGCUUUUUUGGAUUUUUCAAAAUUUUAUUUCCAAAAAAGCGCCGGAUGGCAUCUCAUUGUCCGUCGCUUUUCAAGAUUCUAAAAAAAUUAAAUAUUAAUUAAAGCGAUGGACUUCGUCUCUUUUUUAAAAAAUUUUAAAAAAAAGAAGCGACGGACGGCGUCGCAUUCUUCAAAAAAAUCAAAAGCGAUGGGGUCCGUCGCUUUUGGAAAAGUGUCUAGCCAAAAAGCGACAAGAUUGACUGUGUCGCUUUUCCGUCGCUUUUGGCCAAAAAAGCGACACAGUUCGUUGCUUUUUUCCAUCUCUUUUUGGCAGAUUUUAGUAGUGACCUCUCUCUACUCAUUAUGCUGUUGUUCUGCGAAUUCUUAGUUAUGUCAAAAGUACUAUGUUCCAUGGACUUCACUUUUCAGCCAAUUCUUCUCUUGAAUUAAAAGCAUAUGCUGAUGCUGAUUGGGGACGUGAUCCCGUUGAUAGACAUUCUACUAGUGGUUAUUUUAUUUUUCUAGGAGAUUCUCUUAUAUCGUGGAGAAGCAAGAAACAAACCUUAGCAUCCCGAUCAAGUACUGAAUCAGAAUAUCGCGCACUUGCUGAUACUACUGCUGAGAUAUUGUGGCCUCGUUGGUUAUUUGGCUGACAUGAGUGUCCCUCAUGAGCGUACAAAGCAUACUGAGAUUGAUUGUCAUUUUACUUGUCAGCACAUUGAUCUUGGUGCCAUUCGAUUAGCUUCUAUUUGAUCCUUAGAUCAACCAGCUGAUGUUUUCACCAAGCCUCAUCUUCCUAGACGUUUCCAAGUUCUGGUGGCCAAACUCAAUCUGAUUUCUUCUAAACCAUCUUGAGUUUGAGGGGGGAUGUUAAAAUUCGGUAAAUAUUGUAUAGACAUUCUAACUAUGGGUAGAGUAUAUAUUUAAAUAUAUUAAGUAUGGUAAAGUAUACAUUUAGACAUUAUAGGUAUUUUAUUUCCUUUUGCUUCUUAACUUCUUGUGGCAUGGCUGAAAUUAGAGGUGUCAAAUAGGGGGGUUGGGAUGAUAUUGGAGAUAUUAAAAUGGAAUGAAAUGGAAAUUGGGUUGGGUUCUGAUCUGCCAAGUUUACUUUGGGCUCAAAUAGGCUUAAAAGCGGGUUGGGUCUUGAUUCACCCAAUUUGACCCACUUAAUCUCAAUAAUUUUAAUAUAUUGUUAUUUUAGUAUUAUAACCACAAUUUGAAUUUUAACUCAAGAAUUUUAUUUUUUUUAAAGUUACAAUGGAUAGAUAAAUCCUAAAAGAUAUAAAAUAGAUUGUAAUUCAUACCUUCAAUAUAGUAACAUACAUUGCAUCAAUGAAAAUAAAUAGUCUUAAAACGGGUUGAAAUUGGAAAUUAAAUUGACCUCAAUUGAGGAUUCUCUUAAAAUGGGUCAAGACUUGAUGAGUUGAGAUUGAACUCAAUUCAAAUUAUUUUGAACCCAACUCUUAAAAUUAUGGGCGGCUUACCUAUAGUUAGGCUCAUUUUUUACGCCCCUAGCUGAAAUACAUUAAUUAUUCUGUAAAAUAUAUUACCCUUAUACCUUAUAUAUUAGCCAACAAGAAAAGGACUAACAUUGCAGUACUUGAUUGUACCUCAUGCUAUGUGAGUUGUACUAUAUGUUUUUCUCUUUUGAAGUGGGAGUUAAGGUGUACUAUAAGCUAAGAGAAGUGUACUUUAAAGUUGAGCCCUUUUUUUAUUCCUUUUUCUAUUAAACAUGUGUAUUACUCUUUGUUUUACACGUGUAGUGGUGAUUUUCUCUUUAUGAGAUAAAUUUAUUUCUCUUCCUUCUCUCAUUCAUAAACAAAUAAAAAUAAAUAAAUUUAUUUCUCUUCCUUCUUUCCUCUAGGAUUUCACUAAUGCUAUCUUGAAUGUUGUAUUUCUCUCUCUCUUUUUCUUUUUUGUAUUUGCAUUUUCGGAAUUCUUUGUUUGCUUGCAUCUGAUUAAGACUUUUAGAUGAAUGAUGGGUGUAUAUUAUUUUUUUUCAAUUUGAUAUAACUGCAGAUAAUGGUCCAAUUGAUUUUAUUUAAUUUUCAUUCUCAAUCCAAAUAUCUUCUCCUAAACUUCACCACCUCUUUCUUCUCCAUUAAUUUUUCAGAUUUGCUCCUAAUUUCAUUGUUUGCUCGGCCUUCAAUACUUGCAAGUAAGCAUUUCUUAUUCUUUUAUAUAAUUUCUUGCUGAAUAUUCUUAUAUAUGCACAUGCAUGUUAAUGUAAAUGUUGAAUGUGAAAUUUGGGACAUUAGGACAGUUGACCAAACAAGUGAAAUGAUAAAACUAGCAACUUUAAAAAAUUAUUACAUAACUCUCCCCAUGGAAUUGAUACUAAG